rnacentral:rRNA from 1 species
CCCUGGUACGAUCCGCCUUGAGUUGAUCAUGGCUCAGGAUGAACGCUAGCGGCAGGCUUAAUACAUGCAAGUCGAGGGGCAGCGGGGGUAGCAAUACCUGCCGGCGACCGGCAAACGGGUGCGGAACACGUACACAACCUUCCUUUAAGUGGGGGAUAGCCCAGAGAAAUUUGGAUUAAUACCCCGUAAGAUAACAGAGUGGCAUCACUUAGUUAUUAAAGCUCCGGCGCUUGAAGAUGGGUGUGCGUCUGAUUAGGUAGUUGGUGUGGGUAACGGCCCACCAAGCCUACGAUCAGUAACUGGUGUGAGAGCACGACCAGUCACACGGGCACUGAGACACGGGCCCGACUCCUACGGGAGGCAGCAGUAAGGAAUAUUGGUCAAUGGACGCAAGUCUGAACCAGCCAUGCCGCGUGGAGGAUGAAGGUCCUCUGGAUUGUAAACUUCUUUUAUCUGGGAAGAAAUGCAUUUUUUCUAAAGUGUUUGACGGUACCAGAUGAAUAAGCACCGGCUAACUCCGUGCCAGCAGCCGCGGUAAUACGGAGGGUGCAAGCGUUAUCCGGAUUCACUGGGUUUAAAGGGUGCGUAGGUGGGCAGUUAAGUCAGUGGUGAAAUCUCCGGGCUCAACCCGGAAACUGCCAUUGAUACUAUCUGUCUUGAUAUCGUGGAGGAAGCGGAAUUGUCAUGUAGCGGUGAAUGCUUAGAUAUGACAUAGACACCAUUGCGAAGCAGCUACUACCGAUAUGACCUGAGCACGAGCGUGGGUCAACAGAUAGUACCUGUAUCACCCC